UACGUAGGGAGCAAGCGUUGUCCGGAAUCAUUGGGCGUAAAGCGCGCGUAGGUGGCCCCAUAAGUCCGCUGUGAAAGUCAAAGGCUCAACCUUUGAAAGCCGGUGGAUACUGUGGGACUAGAGUACGGAAGAGGCGAGUGGAAUUCCUGGUGUAGCGGCGGAAUGCGCAGAUAUCAGGAGGAACACCAAUAGCGAAGGCAGCUCGCUGGGACGUUACUGACACUGAGGCGCGAAAGCGUGGGGAGCGAACAGG
rnacentral:rRNA from 1 species